UGCACUCUGUGUUAUCUGCACUCAACAGUUUAUUCCUGCUAGUGGUUCAAAGGACAGUGUAAUAGAAAUUCAAACCUGACCUCAUUGGUUUUCAUAGCUUUGUUCAUGUUAAACUUGGUAUUUCUAUUGAUUUUUGUA
ensembl:snoRNA